UGGGGAAUCUUCCGCAAUGGACGAAAGUCUGACGGAGCAACGCCGCGUGAGUGAAGACGGCCUUCGGGUUGUAAAGCUCUGUUAUUCGGGAAGAACGAUUCGUUUGUGAACAAUGAACGGAAGUGACGGUACCGAAAGAGAAAGCCACGGCUAACUACGUGCCAGCAGCCGCGGUAAUACGUAGGUGGCAAGCGUUGUCCGGAAUUAUUGGGCGUAAAGAGCGCGUAGGCGGUAUGGUAAGUCUGUCUUAGAAGUGCGGGGCUUAACCCCGUGAGGGGACAGAGACUGUCAUACUGGAGUCUCGGAGAGGAAAGCGGAAUUCCUAGUGUAGCGGUGAAAUGCGUAGAGAUUAGGAAGAACACCGGUGGAGAAGGCGGCUUUCUGGACGAGCACUGACGCUGAGGCGCGAAAGCGUGGGGAGCGAACAGG
rnacentral:rRNA from 1 species